rnacentral:rRNA from 1 species
GAUGAACGCUGGCGGCGUGCCUAACACAUGCAAGUGGAGCGACGAACCCGGACUUGUCCGGGGGCAAAGCCGCGAACGGGUGAGUAACACGUGGAUUAUCUGCCCCAAUGACCGGGACAACCCGAGGAAACUCGAGCUAAUACCGGAUGUGCUUUUCAGAGGAAAGGAAGCUUCGGCCUCCGCAUUGGGAUGAGUCCGCGGCGCAUUAGCUAGUUGGUGGGGUAAUGGCCUACCAAGGCGACGAUGCGUAGCUGGUCUGAGAGGACGAUCAGCCACACUGGAACUGAGACACGGUCCAGACUCCUACGGGAGGCAGCAGUGGGGAAUCUUGCGCAAUGCACGAAAGUGUGACGCAGCAACGCCGCGUGCGGGAAGAAGGUCUUCGGAUCGUAAACCGCUUUCAGUUGGGACGAGGGUCAGCUGGUGAAUAGCCAGUCUGACUGACGGUACCUUCAGAAGAAGCCCCGGCUAACUACGUGCCAGCCGCCGCCGUAACAC